CUUGCAGUCUGUGGGUUGAAACAAGUACAUGGAUGACCUGUGCCUAUGCAGACUCGUGACCCUGCUUUGGUGGGCUCAGAGAUAGGGUCUCUUAUAUCUCAAGCUUGUCUCCAACCUGAUGAUAGCCUUGAACUUCUGAGCCUCCUGUCUCUAUCUCCCAAGUGCUGGGAUUACAGGAUGGGGCAUCCAACCUUACCCAGAGUGACUUCUCAACAGAUGCUUGCAGAGGAGAAAGUGGUCAGCCAAAGGAAGGCAAGGGGCACUCAAUUCCCAUAAUAGGAGGUGACUGAGCACAAGAUAAAAGACUCACAAAGACAAAUUAAGCCUCGGCAAGGUUGCUAGUCAGGCAGGCACCUGCCUGUGGGAGAAGAGGCUCUUCUCCAUCCCACCCUAAGCACCACAUGGGGCCAGGCACAAGUAAAUUCCCUCAACUCAUGGUUAGAGAGCCCUCCAGUCAUGGGAUUACAGUCUCCAAGUGAGACCUGCAAGGUCCUGCCAACCUUGCUGGACAACUUUGAAAGAGAAUUUACCACUGGCUGUGAAGUAAAGGUGAAGCCCUCCAAACUAAAGACUGUGAAAUUGAUUGGCUUCUCUUUGAUGACAGCUGGCCGUAAGAAGGAACUCUAGAUUUGACUCUGAUCAAGAGUCCCAGAGGUCUGUAUGGGACACUUGGUCACUCAGGCCAGUUCCCAUUCAUGGUGUCUCUUGGCCCAAGACCCUCUGGGAUGGCUUCACUUUCAGAACUUCACCAGUGCCAGAGCACAUCGAUUGCAGACUGUUAUAAGCCUUAAGGUACCGAGGAAGCAUCCUCAUUAGCUUCCCCAGAGGAUGAAACUUUGCCUGUGAUGCUGCCUUGCUACCGGUUCCACUUGCCGCUGCCACAUGGCUCUGAGGCAGUUUCAAGAUCGUUCAUCCUGCCCCUUCUGUGGCACCUGCCCUGAUGAAACGCUCGCUCACCAGCUUCAUCCUGCUGGGUGGCUUUGCCAGACUGUAGUCUGCAGCAUUCUAGUGUGUCAGCUAAAGAAAAUGCUGGCCCUCUUCUCACCAAAAAUACGCUGGAUUAAGUCCUGGAUGAACUGCUUUCCAAUUCAGAUAUGAAACCUUUUGCUGAUGGGAUCUGAAGCCUACAGCAGAGAAAACAGCCCCUUACACCAAGAGACUCAAAGGAACAAUGUAUUGUAUUGAGAAAGAGUACUGCUUACCCCAGUGGACAAAAAUGUUUAAAACAGAGACCAAAUUCUCAAGCUCUUGACAGCUGUCUGGGACCUAGUGGGGGCAGUGAAGUGCUGUUGGGCUCACAGAGUCAAGACUGAGUAAGUUGGGAGAACCAAGUGACAGACCAGACAUCCAAACAGGCUGCCCUCGAUAACGACAGCCCCGGAGUCCCAUCCCAUCAUCCUCCAGGAGGUAUGCUUUACACUCCUGGUGCUUGCUCCCAGAGUUCCUCUUAUAAAAACAAGCAGGCAAGCACGCGAGUGAGCGAGCAAGCAAACCAACAAACAACAACAAGAAAAUGGACAAAGGAGCUACUAAAAAUCAAGAGCACUGGCUGAUUACUGCUGUGGAUAUCGCUCUACAUAAAUAAAACACUGAUGGCCAGUGAUCA